rnacentral:tRNA from 1 species
GGCCGAAUAGCAUAGCUGGUCUAAUGCAGAGGAUUGCAAAUCCUUGAUCGUGAGUUCGAAUCUCACUUCGGCCUCCA